GCUUAGCCAUAAACACAAAUAAUUUGCACAACAAAAUUACUCGCCAGAGAACUACUAGCAACAGCUUAAAACUCAAAGGACUUGGCGGUGCUUCACAUCCCUCUAGAGGAGCCUGUUCUAUAAUCGAUAAACCCCGAUAAACCUCACCAUCCCUUGCUAAUUCAGUCUAUAUACCGCCAUCUUCAGCAAACCCUUAAAAGGAAAGAAAGUAAGCAUAAUCAUCACACGUAAAAAAGUUAGGUCAAGGUGUAACCCAUGGGAUGGAAAGAAAUGGGCUACAUUUUCUAAGUAAGAACAGUCACACAAAAGUUUUUAUACAAAAAUAAUAACUGAAGGUGGAUUUAGUAGUAAACUAAGAAUAGAGAGCUUAAUUGAACUGGGCCAUGAAGCAC
rnacentral:rRNA from 1 species